rnacentral:rRNA from 1 species
UAGGGAAUCUUCCGCAAUGGACGCAAGUCUGACGGAGCAACGCCGCGUGAGUGAAGAAGGAUUUCGGUUCGUAAAACUCUGUUGUUAGAGAAGAACAGCGCAUAGAGUAACUGUUAUGCGUGUGACGGUAUCUAACCAGAAAGCCACGGCUAACUACGUGCCAGCAGCCGCGGUAAUACGUAGGUGGCAAGCGUUGUCCGGAUUUAUUGGGCGUAAAGCGAGCGUAGGCGGUCAAUUAAGUCUGAUGUGAAAGCCUCCGGCUCAACCGGGGAGGGUCAUUGGAAACUGGUUGACUUGAGUGCAGAAGAGGAGAGUGGAAUUCCAUGUGUAGCGGUGAAAUGCGUAGAUAUAUGGAGGAACACCAGUGGCGAAGGCGACUCUCUAGUCUGUAGCUGACGCUGAGGUUAGAAAGCGUGGGUAGCAAACAGG